UACGUAGGGUGCAAGCGUUAAUCGGAAUUACUGGGCGUAAAGCGUGCGCAGGCGGUUAUGUAAGACAGAUGUGAAAUGCCCGGGCUUAACCUGGGAACUGCAUUUGUGACUGCAUGGCUAGAGUGUGUCAGAGGGGGGUAGAAUUCCACGUGUAGCAGUGAAAUGCGUAGAUAUGUGGAGGAACAUCAGUGGCGAAAGCGACUUCCUGGACCAAUACUGACGCUCAUGUGCGAAAGCGUGGGGAGCAAACAGG
rnacentral:rRNA from 1 species